GAUGAACGCUGGCGGCGUGCCUAAUACAUGCAAGUCGAGCGAACGGACGAGAAGCUUGCUUCUCUGAUGUUAGCGGCGGACGUGUGAGUAACACGUGGAUAACCUACCUAUAAGACUGGGAUAACUUCGGGAAACCGGAGCUAAUACCGGAUAAUAUUUUGAACCGCAUGGUUCAAAAGUGAAAGACGGUCUUGCUGUCACUUAUAGAUGCAUCCGCGCUGCAUUAGCUAGUUGGUAAGGUAACGGCUUACCAAGGCAACGAUGCAUAGCCGAACUGAGAGGGUGAUCGGCCACAGUGGAACUGAGACAGGGUCCAGACUCCUACGGGAGGCAGCAGUAGGGAAUCUUCCGCAAUGGGCGAAAGCCUGACGGAGCAAAGCCGCGUGAGUGAUGAAGGUCUUCGGAUCGUAAAACUCUGUUAUUAGGGAAGAACAUAUGUGUAAGUAACUGUGCACAUCUUGACGGUACCUAAUCAGAAAGCCACGGCUAACUACGUG
rnacentral:rRNA from 1 species